UUUUUUGGGUGGAAAACAUAUUCAAGAGGAUUUCUUCUUCCUCCUCUGGUCCUCUCCAUCUGCCCGCCAGACCUUCGGCGACGGUGAACAGGGAAAAUUAGUGAAAUGGUUGAAGAAAACGAAAAUGGGGAGAUGGAGAGCUUGCCUUCUCCUUAAAGACAUAACAAUAAGGUCUCAAUCUCUUCUGCAUUGCCCCAUUUUAUUGCCUCAAUUGUUACCCGCUACGAUAUCAGGAAUUAAAUCGUUUGGUUGUAAAUUUCUCUCUGCAAUUCCGGCCCCAAGUGAUUUUUAUGACAAUGAAUUUAUUAGUGGGAAUCCCCAUUUUGGCCAGAAGUACACCCUGGAACCUAAGGAGGAGGAGAGGGUCGGAAAAUUUCCUGUCAAAGCAUACUUCCCCUGAACCAGUGUCAGUUUGAGGAGAAUGCAAGCAAUGUUGUUCUUCGUUCUCAUUCAUCAAAUUAUGUUGUCCUCAAAUAUUGCAAUUUCCCUAAAAAAAUCACUGUAAGAAGAUGGAUGUGUGUGUAUAUUUAUACUUGUUUUUGACGGUGCAUGCCUAUUUUGAGUUUCUUAUGUGAAUAAGACAAAAGGAUGAUUUCAUUCA